GCUUAGGGUUGCCAAAAGUUGUUGAGCUUUUAGACAACCCCCAGAUUCAGGACAAAGCGCCACCAUUCAGAGAUUCACCCCAGACAUCAAUUCCACCUUUGAAAUGUGAAAUCCCAGUAAUAUAUGGUAAAUUAUGGGGAGAAGGAAGGAGAUAUGCCGGACCCUGCAGCUACCUCCCAGCCCUGGGAUCUGAUGGACCCUUACUGGGUUCUGUGAUUUCAGCAAGCAUCACCCACAUUGUCUUUCAAGCAACUCUGAAUCCACAAGGACUAGAAAUUUGCAUUUUUAAAAGCUGAGUUCCUUAGGAGACUUGAGUUGUGUCUUUCCUCAUAUUCUCUUGGUGUGCCUACAUUCACAGCCUGUGCAGAACUGUACUUCUGGUUUAACACACCAUCCACAAAUAAAA